AAAAAUCUCCCAGGCGGGCGGCGAUUUUCCUGCCGUGGCGGUUGCCCGAGAAAAAUAUCGGGAGGCUGACGAGCGGAUGUUGAAGAAGCAGGAGCAGCCGGCGGAGGGGAGGGGGCCAAAUCAUCUCGACGCGAGUACGACCCCGUACAGAGGGAAUACACAUACACCCGCUUCUUCAACCCCAGACUCGAUCUCGAUAAGUUGUGUAAGACCCCUCCGAUUCCCCACCGAUUCUCCCGCCGUUCGUUGUUGAUUCCUGGUUGUCAUCCCGGGACGAUGAACCCGGCUUUUUUUUUCCUUUCGAGCUUUAAUUGUGAUGCGAUUUCUCAUAAGUGUUGUCUUGUUCGUCUCCACGUCGAUGCACCGAGAGAUGAAUUUUCUGGGAUGGAAAAUAGAUCGGAUUACAAUUUCUCAUCGGUUGAACUGAACAUUAUAAAAGCCUUUCAUUAUACCUGAUGACCCGCCGUUACAGGGAUAUAUGCAAAUCAAAUAGAUCUGGCAUGAUUCAUCCAUUGAUGAACUGACCAUUAAUAAUGCUAUGCUUCAGCGAACAAGUAGUUUCUGAAGAAGAGCUACUUGAAUACAAUUAGUUUCUGGAGCGGCCUCGCAGCAUGGUCGCCGGAGGGUGGGGCGAUGAACCGGAGCUGGUGCUCCUUCGUGGAAGAGGCAGAAUAUUUUGUCAGGGCUUUGACAGUAGACCAAAAACUUCAGCCACAGUAGUACUACCAUGUACUCCCUCCGUUCCAAAAUAGAUGACUCCUUGUUUUGGCAUCAUCAUUAGACAUGUAAAACGUCUCAUACAGGAUACAGCAACCACGCCCUAUAUUUACACCCGUCUGAAUCAAGUAAGCUCCCAAUACAACGCAGAAGGUUCGUAAACCACACCGUUACCUCAUCCUGUUAUGCAUUCCCUUGACUUUCCCCAAGAAUCAAGGAAAGUACAGACUCUGUUUGUACAGUAUAACAUUCCCUUAACUUUCCCAAGAAUCAGCCCGCAGCAAAAAAGGUAACAACACAUCCCUCAAAGGCAACGUUACUUUUCCAUGCCGCCUUGGUCAGUAUAACAUCUAAUUCUAAACUGAAGGUCUUCUUAGUGGCAUUUGUACAGACUCUGUUUCCUGUGGAACCAAAUAUAAAUAUAAAUAUACGGGUACCAAUUCAAGAAUAACAUGGUACACACUUAAUUAUUACUGUGCAUAAGACGGUAGCAAUAGGAAUAUAUUGGGAGAGCUACCAAACAACCUAACCACUACCAAUCAUGUUGCAACCGUCUUUAGUUCCCUUGCGUACUCUACGUUUGGGCAAGGUUAGAAGGAAUUUCUGUUCUCGUUUUCCAACAAAGAAUUUAUGUUCAUUUCAGGAGUAAACUGGAUAGCAGAAGCAUAUGACCCCUAGUUCAGCAAUUGGUAUUUAUGCACACAAGUAAGAAAAAUGAGAAGAUAAGACAAGAAAUGCAUACCCUUGCUCUAAGCACGCGAUUUAACUAUACGUGCACAUACUCUGGUUAUUGUUUCAUUCAUGCUCCUAGUCUGUUCAAUUAAUAAUUGAAGAAAAGUCAGGAUGAUCUGAGGAAAAAGGAAAAAGAGAGCUAGAAACUAAACUACUCCCUCCGUCCCAUAAUGUAAGACGUUUUUUGACACUACACUAGUGUCAAAAAACGUCUUACAUUAUGGGACGGAGGAAGUAAUAAAUAUGCUCACCGGCUUGAUCGUAAAAUAAUCAUGCAGCCACCGCCGGAUCUCAUCAAUCUUGAGAGCAAAUUUGAACUCACAAAACGUACAAAUCCAAAUUCCCAUAACUAGAUGGCUCUCAUUGAAUACAGGUGCCCCAUAACAUCCCAGUGACCCCGGCAUAUCAAACUCAAAAACUCUAAGUCAGGAGCAUACACUGGAUCCAAAUCCUUGCCAAUCACGGGGCCGCCACUGCAGUAAAGAAAGACAUGUUAUGCAUCUAGUGGAUACCUUAUACUAGAUUUCAGUUAUAAUGUUUUCCCUUUAUAUUCUAGCAAAUGCCAAAAACUCACCAGAUUUUACCAUUUAUGGUAGUGCCAAAUAAAACCUUGUCAUCUUUCUGACAAGUGGGGAAGCAGAAAAUUGAGAACACUUCUGUUGCCCUUUUGUAAAAAGACUGACCCAUCAAGUCCUCAUUGUCAAUGAAUUUAACAGGGACAUAUGACUUCUUGGGGUAAGGAACAAAUACAAGACAUAAGUCCUUCCACCAAUCAACGCAGUAUACUUCCCCCUUAGCUGAAUGCCCAUCAAGAAAGUCCACUCGUAGGAUUAUAUUCUCAUUUAGCAUCCCAACUGAAUUAAAAUCAGGGCCAGGGCGUGUGGUGAAAGCUCUCAAAGCUUUAGAGGAGCUGAGAAUUAAAAUGAACUUUUUGGAUGAGUGGAUAAUGGAACCUGUUCCGUAAGACCUCAUCGGUUUCCUCCCCUCCUUAGAGCUAUACUUCCACUGAACUUUUAAGGAAAUGACUGACUCAAGAUGCUUAUCAGCGAGUUCACACAUGAUACGAGCUGAUUUGCGGUCGUCAUCCAUGGUCAGCCACUGCCAUAUGAUUAUUCAAGCACAUCAUUAAGAUAAGUAACACUGAAAUGGAAUUAUAUAAUACAUGCAGCCAUUUUAAGUACAGUAAAGAUGAUUUCACAAGAUGUAGAAAUAAUGCUGACAUGGAAUCUGGAAUGCAUGCCUUAUAAUGUCAAUAAGAGAUAUGCAAACAUAUUUGCAUGGCAUUUCCCAUAUGAGCAAGAAAGAACAGGCAAAGGUUCAAGCAGCUGGAAAAGCUAGUGUCUACAAUCCACAAGUUUCAAUCUGAAGAGUAUAGUGCAGCAGCAAAUUGCAUAAAACAGCCAAUAUAGUUAGGCAACAAACAUGUGCAUAAAGAAAAAAAAAGGAGAAAUCCCCUGGUGUGUUCUGACCCUAACCAUUCAAUGCACCAUCAGGUAUAUGUAAAAGCAUCUCCAACUGAAUCCUAAUCGCAACCCAUUGCUGUUUUUUUAUCAGAAAGCAGAAAACCAGUCUCCAACUAACCCCAUCAGGAGAGUAUCUUCCUUAUUUCUCGGUGAAAUUUGGCUUGUUACUUCAGGAACAAAGAUACAAUACAGCUCAAAAAUAAUGUUUCAUUUCUUAUACGCGUUUUGGUUUUGGCUCGAUGUUUCAAGAUCAGAUGACUUGAACAACAAAAUAUGUUGUUAGUUAACAUGUGAAGAUUGCCCUUUUGUGAUGUUAAAAUCCAUAAUAUGCCAAGGCAUGUGAAUUAAAUAAAAUUAUCUUGAUGCUUCGUUAUUCAUGCAAAUUUCUGAUGUCUUUUCUAUUUUACAUGUCAGUGUAGUUUAUUACUAUGUUACCAUUACUAAGCAACCCUAACACACAUAGUUCACAUCUAAACGCAGAACCGUCAUGGCAUUGAGCAUUCAACAGCUGAUAUUUUUUGUGUGCUAGGUAUGCUGCAGCAACAAAGAGCUAGUCGUCGUCGUAUGACAAUGAGACAACAAAUCGAGAAAUUACAUGAGGAAGCUACGACCACGCACUGCAAGGUGGUCCCGAGACUCUUGGAGCAUGAAGAGAUAUGGAGAGGGAAUUUUUUUAAGAGGCUCUCCAUAUAAAGAUAUGGGGGUUUCUUUGGCGAUGCUCUAGCUAAAUAUUAUACAAUAUUCAUGAAGGAAAAAAUAUGCUGCGGAAUAUAACAGCAUAUGAGAUGGUAAGUUCUGUGUUUGCGGAAACAAACCAUUCCCUGCAUCAUGAUGUUGGCACGGUACUGCCAUGGUAAUAUCUCUUAGAAUUAGAAGUGUGGAUGUUAUAUGUGCAACAGAAUGCAUAGGUAGUAUUUUUAACACUUAAUGCAGAAGGAUUUCUAUAUAUGAACAAUGAGAAAUACUUUAUUGAAAGGCAGAAACCAAAAUCCAGUCUACACAAACAUAUACUGAUGCUUGGAAACUCCUAACGGCUCCGAAGCUAUUUGUCUUUUGGAAUUGCAAAAAAAAAAUUCAACUGAAAGACACAUGUAAAUAUUGCAAUAAUUAUUUGGAAUGGCAGAUUUUCCUGGAAAAAUAUACAUCUCUGCGAGCUGUGAAAAGAACAAGCACAUCGCAGCACUAGUCUCCCAUCCUCCCUUGUGUUCGUUUGCACAGUUUACAAAUGAAAAUACUGCUUCGCGGUCCAUAGUUUUUUAACUCAAAAAACUUCUAAAAUGUAGAAGAAAAAAAGAGCUCACUACAGCUCAGGAGCCAACUGUCUAUUAUCCUAAUGUGGUGGAUAAGGACUGAGUGGUGUUGCGCAUAGCACUCAUGGCUUGGAGUCAGGAUGCUUCACAGACGACUCCUGCUGGCGUAUGUGUGCCAGACAUGUCCCUUCCAAAAGUCAUAAGAAGAAUAUUGGUUCCCAAACAAAUACUAUCAAGCAUGACAAAUAAUUGCUGCAAAUCUACCCCCACGCAUGCUAUUCUUGUUUCAUCUUCAUACAUACAUAUAUAAGAACAGAAAAUGGAAAUUUUACCUUGGGGACAAGCUUGGCAGCUUCUGGAAGCAGAGGGGCGUCUGGGCAUGCUUGGGCGGUGAGCUGACUUGGACAUAGGUGGUCUUGAUGGCGGACUGGGUAGAGACCUUGCCGGGGCGAAUGCGGGGUGGGGGAAAUGGGGACCGGCAGCUUAGAUAUGAUUCUAGAUAAUCUGGCUACUGUUUUAUUCAUACUACUUGUCUGUUGGAAUAAUUAAAGAAAAGUCAGAAAGAUAUGAGGAAAAUGAGAAGCAGAAACUAAAUUAACAAAAAUGUUCACCAUCUCGAUGUCAAAACAAUCAUGGAGCCACCGCUGAAUCUGAUCAAGCGUAAGAGCAAACUCCAAUUUAUCAAAUCGACAAGUGCAAAUACCCAUAACUAAAAGAUUAUCUGUGAAUACAGGUCUCCCAGGACACUCCUUUCCCCCCGGCAUAGUGAACUCAAAAAACUCCAAGUCAGGAUCGUAAACUGGACCCAAAUCAUUGCCAAUUAUUGGGAGGCCACUGCAGUGAAGAAAGACAUGUUAUGCAUUUAGUGAAUAUCUUGUACAAGAUUUCAGUUAAGCUGUUUUCACUUUAAAUUUUAACAAAUGUUAACAACUCACCAUAUUUUACCAUUUGAGGUAGUGCCAAACAAAAUCUUCUGACCAUUUGGUAUACAAAAGAUUGAGAACACUUUUGUUCCCCUUUUGUAAAUAGACUGAUCCAUCAAAUUCUCAUCAUCCAUGAACUUUACAGGUUCAUAGGUCCUCUCAGGGAAAGGAAUAAGUACAA
rnacentral:lncRNA from 1 species